AUGGAGUUUAUUAAAGAGGAGAGAGAAGACGUGAAGAUUGAAGACACAUUCAGAGUCAAACAUGAAGAGACUGAGACACACACUGUUAUAAAGAUGGAGAUUAUUAAAGAGGAGAGAGAAGACGUGAAGAUUGAAAAAGUAUUCAGUCUGAAGCCAGAAGAGUCUGAGGAACAAACAGAGAUGGCGUCAGUUAAAGAGGAGAGUGAAGACAUGAAGAUUGAAGAAGUAUUCAGUCUGAAACAAGAAGAUACUGAGACACAAACAGAGAUUAAGUUUUUUAAAGAGGAGAGAGAAGUGAAGAUUGAAGACACAUUCAGAGUCAAACAUGAAGAAACUGAGGAACAAACAGAGAUUAAGUUUAUUAAAGAGGAGAGAGAAGACAUGAAGAUUGAAGAAGUAUUCAGUUUGAAACAAGAAGAUACUGAGGAACAAACAGAGAUGGCGUCAGUUAAAGAGGAGAGAGAAGACAUGAAGAUUGAAGAAGUAUUCAGUCUGAAACAAGAAGAAACUGAGACACAAACAGAGCCAGAGCUGCUCCUGUGCGCUCUCUCCCCCUCCCGCUGAUGGCUCGUUAACCAAUUAUCCAAUCAGAGGCCGAGAAGCGAGGUGAAGAGAAGGGGGAGCGGCGGCUGAGGCCAUGUCCACACUAAUACGUUUUCGUUUGAAAAUGCAUCUUUUUCUCUCCGUUUUGGACUUCCGUCCACACUGAGACGGCAUUUUUAUCAAGGAAAACGGAGCUUUUUAAAAACGCUCUCCAAAGUGGAUAAAUGGUGAGUUCUUUUCAUAAAUAAAAUAUAUAAAGUUUCCUGUCA
ensembl:lncRNA